rnacentral:rRNA from 1 species
UACGAACUGUGCGAACGUUAUUCGGAAUCACUGGGCUUAAAGGGUGCGUAGGCGGCGGCACAAGUCAGGUGUGAAAUCCCCCGGCUCAACCGGGGAACAGCGCUUGAAACUAGGUCGCUCGAGUGAGGCAGGGGUAUGUGGAACUUCCGGUGGAGCGGUGAAAUGUGUAGAUAUCGGAAGGAACGCCGGCGGCGAAAGCGGCAUACUGGGCCUUGUCUGACGCUGAGGCACGAAAGCUAGGGGAGUGAACGGG